GGACUUAAGAAAAUCCGUUGGCUUUAAUAGACCUUGAGGGUUCAAGUCCCUCUACCC
rnacentral:tRNA from 5 species